UCACUGUGGCCUAUUUGUGAAUGCUGUCCGCCACCAAAUUUACUACUUAUGCUACUGUCAGGAAGAGCAGUACAAAAUAAAUCAUAAGAGGACAUAGAAAGAUUGUAGCUUGACCCAGAAGCUAUGAUUGUGAAAGGAUGAAUGAGCUCCUCUCCACAAUUACGGUACUAAAAGAGCAAGAGCAGACACAAUGGCCAUUUUAACCUCUAAUACAAGUAGUCAGAGGUUUAUUUGAACAGUGAAAGACAACAAACAAAUCCAGAAGAAAUAAAAAAGUUAUGAACUGAUUCCCUCUCUUACAGGGAGUGCUCCUAAUCUCAGCUUGUUACCUGUAAAAAAGACACCUGUCAACAGAAGCAAUCAGACUCUGGAAUGGCCAAGCACAUUGGUGAGAAGUUUAAAACAGGCAACAUUCUAGGACUAGCCAUAGGCAAGAAAUACAUGGCAAAUGCACAUUGCUGCCACUGGGCCCGAGAUUCUAUGAAAAUCCAUUAAACCAGUGGCAGGAGGACACCAAUGAGAUGACAGACAGAACACUUCCGCCUGUUAAACUCUUAAGAUUCCACGAUCGCUACGGACAGCAAUAUUUAUAGGGUCAGAAGGCCAGGACUAGGGAUAUCACCAAUCAUGGCACUUACAACGUUACGCCUGCAAUUAGUUAUAGCUGGCACCUGUGGGCAUCUGAGCAAUUUUGACAAGAGCCUAACUGGCAGUGUAAUGCAGCUUGCUGCGUAUGUGACUACAUAGCUGCAGACGAGUGCCCAUGCUGACCUCAGUCCUUGGCUGAAAGAGCCUACACUGGCACAUGAGCAUCAGUAUUGGAUCAACCAAGGAGGUGGCCUGGUCUCUUAGGGUGUGUUCACACUGAGUAAUUCAAGAGGAAUUUACGCGAGUAAUUCCUCUUGAAUUCUCCGCUUAGAAAUAAUUAACAUCUGCUUUGCCAUUGAUUUCAAUGUAUUUUACUCUGCACUGUUCACACUGCGUGAACUCCAUUCAUCUAGAAGAAAGAACAUGUUAAUUCUUCUUGCAGAAUACACAAGCAGAAGUCCAUUGAAGUCAAUGGUAAAAAAAAUUCCACUUGAAAUCGUUUCCGCGUGGAAUUUGCACGAAAUUUGCGCGGAAUUCUGCAUGAAAAAAAAAAUGUAAUAAAAAGGGAAAUUCCAAUUGGUGGUUGUAGUCCCGCAAAAAAAAAAAAAAAAAAAACUGUUUCCUCCUAUAUUCCGCGCGGAAUUCUGCGUUAAUUCCACAUGAUUUUCACACAAAAUGAACGCAAAUUUCGCAAAAAAAAAAAAAGUAAUUCCGCUGCAGAGUUUUUACGCGAGGAUUCCUCUCCUAUUCCUCAGUGUGAACGCACCCUUAGAAGACUUGAAGGGUUUGCUGAUAACAUCAUGGUACAAUAAAAGGUAUUUGUAAAAGUGUGUA